GACGAACGCUGGCGGCAUGCCUAACACAUGCAAGUCGAGCGAGUUGAUCCCUUCGGGGUGAAGCUAGCGGCGGCCGGGUGAGUAACACGUGGGCAACCUGCCUCACAGAGGGGAAUAGCCUUCCGAAAGGAAGAUUAAUACCGCAUACGAUUCUAGCUUCGCAUGAAGCAGCAAUUAAAGGGGCAAUCCGCUAUGAGAUGGGGCCGCGGCGCAUUAGCUAGUUGGUGAGGUAACGGCUCACCAAGGCGACGAUGCGUAGCGGACCUGAGAGGGUGAUAAGCUACGUGUGGACUGAUACACGGCGCAGAAUGCUACGGGAGGUAGUAGUGGAUAAUAAUGCGCAAUGGGGGAAACCCUGAUGCAGCAAUGCCGCGUGAGUGGUGACGGCCGUCGGGUUGUAAAGCUCUGUCUUCGGAGACGAUAAUGACGGUACGCGAGGAGGAAGCCACGGCUAACUACGUGCCAGCCGCCGCGGUAA
rnacentral:rRNA from 1 species